rnacentral:misc_RNA from 1 species
AAGAAUUUGAUACAUUCCCUACUUCUCGGCAAACAGACGUCAUAAGAAUGAGGUAUGAUCGACUGAGGAGUGUGGCUGGGAGGGUGCAAACUGUAGUUGGAGAUUUGGCAACACAAGGUGAAAGGGCUCUUUCCAUACUAAGCUGGCGGGAUCCAAGGGCUACUGCUAUAUUUAUAAUCCUUGCAUUGAUCUGGGCUGUGUUUCUAUAUGUUACUCCAUUCCAAGUAGUUGCAGUGCUCAUAGGACUUUACUGGUUGCGCCAUCCACGAUUCAGGAGCAAGCUGCCAUCAGUACCUGUCAACUUCUUCAAGAGAUUACCAUCGAAGUCCGAUAUGCUUUUGUAAGAUGCUGGUAAAUUUUCACCUUAUCUAUUGUAUUCAAAUUGUAAAAUAGAGAGAUGGAUUCAGUGAAUAAGUGGGGGAUAAAAGGCUGCUACACAAGACACAAAUGGAAGAGCAGUUUUCCUUGUUUCCCCCCACACCCCACAAUCCAUAAUGCAUUCCUCAAGCUCCUGUAUUAGAUAACAAGUGUUUUUUUUCUUGAUUGAUAUUGUAAUCAAUCUAUGAGGUUGUAGAAUAUAGUUGUUUGUAUCUGUUUAGAUGUAAAAAAGGAAUUGCAAAUUCAAAGCUGAUAUGAAUA